rnacentral:rRNA from 2 species
UACGUAGGCAGCAAGCGUUGUUCGGAGUUACUGGGCGUAAAGAGUAUGUAGGCGGUGUUCUAAGUUCGGUGUGAAAUCUCCCGGCUCAACUGGGAGGGUGCGCCGAAGACUGGGAUGCUGGAGUCUCGGAGAGGAACGCGGAAUUCCUGGUGUAGCGGUGAAAUGCGUAGAUAUCAGGAGGAACACCAGUGGUGUAGACGGCGUUCUGGACGAGUACUGACGCUGAGAUACGAAAGCGUGGGGAGCAAACAGG